GAACGCUGGCGGCAUGCUUUACACAUGCAAGUCGGACGGCAGCACAGAGAAGCUUGCUUCUUGGGUGGCGAGUGGCGAACGGGUGAGUAAUAUAUCGGAACGUACCGAGUAAUGGGGGAUAACUAAUCGAAAGAUUAGCUAAUACCGCAUAUUCUCUGAGGAGGAAAGCAGGGGACCUUUGGGCCUUGCGUUAUUCGAGCGGCCGAUAUCUGAUUAGCUAGUUGGUGGGGUAAAGGCCUACCAAGGCGACGAUCAGUAGCGGGUCUGAGAGGAUGAUCCGCCACACUGGGACUGAGACACGGCCCAGACUCCUACGGGAGGCAGCAGUGGGGAAUUUUGGACAAUGGGCGCAAGCCUGAUCCAGCCAUGCCGCGUGUCUGAAGAAGGCCUUCGGGUUGUAAAGGACUUUUGUCAGGGAAGAAAAGGCUGUUGCUAAUAUCAAUAGCUGAUGACGGUACCUGAAGAAUAAGCACCGGCUAACUACGUGCCAGCAGCCGCGGUAAUACGUAGGGUGCGAGCGUUAAUCGGAAUUACUGGGCGUAAAGCGAGCGCAGACGGUUACUUAAGCAGGAUGUGAAAUCCCCGGGCUCAACCUGGGAACUGCGUUCUGAACUGAGUGACUAGAGUGUGUCAGAGGGAGGUAGAAUUCCACGUGUAGCAGUGAAAUGCGUAGAGAUGUGGAGGAAUACCGAUGGCGAAGGCAGCCUCCUGGGAUAACACUGACGUUCAUGCUCGAAAGCGUGGGUAGCAAACAGGAUUAGAUACCUGGUAGUCCACGCCCUAAACGAUGUCAAUUAGCUGUUGGGCAACUUGAUUGCUUAGUAGCGUAGCU
rnacentral:rRNA from 1 species